UACGUAGGGUGCGAGCGUUGUCCGGAAUUAUUGGGCGUAAAGGGCUCGUAGGCGGUCUGUUGCGUCGGUAGUGAAAACUCAGGGCUUAACCCUGAGCCUGCUUCCGAUACGGGCAGACUAGAGGUAUGCAGGGGAGAACGGAAUUCCCGUGUAGUGGUGGAAUGCGUAGAUAUCGGGAGGAACACCAGUGGCGAAGGCGGCUUCCUGGACCAGAGCUGACACUGAGGCGCGAAAGCGUGGGGAGCGAUCCGG
rnacentral:rRNA from 1 species